rnacentral:rRNA from 1 species
GACGAACGCUGGCGGCGUGCCUAAUACAUGCAAGUCGAGCGGACCGAACAGGAGCUUGCUCUUGUUCGGUUAGCGGCGGACGGGUGAGUAACACGUGGGUAACCUGCCCGUAAGACCGGGAUAACUCCGGGAAACCGGAGCUAAUACCGGAUAACACCGAAGACCGCAUGGUCUUUGGUUGAAAGGCGGCUUCGGCUGCCACUUACGGAUGGGCCCGCGGCGCAUUAGCUAGUUGGUGAGGUAACGGCCCACCAAGGCGACGAUGCGUAGCCGGCCUGAGAGGGUGACCGGCCACACUGGGACUGAGACACGGCCCAGACUCCUACGGGAGGCAGCAGUAGGGAAUCUUCCGCAAUGGACGAAAGUCUGACGGAGCGACGCCGCGUGAGCGAAGAAGGUCUUCGGAUCGUAAAGCUCUGUUGUUAGGGAAGAAGAAGCGUCGUUCGAACAGGGCGGCGCGGUGACGGUACCUAACGAGAAAGCCCCGGCUAACUACGUG